rfam:Felis catus isolate Cinnamon breed Abyssinian chromosome D1, whole genome shotgun sequence.
GCCUGGGUGGCUCAGUUGGUUGAGCGUCUGACUUCGGCUCAGGUCAUGAUCUCAUGGUUUGCGAGUUUGAGCCCCACAUCGGGCU